UACGUAGGGUGCAAGCGUUGUCCGGAAUUACUGGGCGUAAAGCGUGCGUAGGUGGUGGGUUAAGUCUGUCGUGAAAGCCCCGGGCUCAACCUGGGAAUGGCGAUGGAUACUGGCUCGCUAGAGUGCGGUAGAGGAGAGUGGAAUUCCCGGUGUAGCAGUGAAAUGCGUAGAGAUCGGGAGGAACAUCAGUUGCGAAGGCGGCUCUCUGGACCAGCACUGACACUGAGGCACGAAAGCUAGGGGAGCGAAUGGG
rnacentral:rRNA from 1 species